rnacentral:misc_RNA from 1 species
CCGGAGUCGCACGCGAUCCCGCCACCCCGCGAACCCUACCCGACGUUGCCUCGGCGGGCGCCCGGCCUCGCGCCGGGCGCCGCGCCCGCCGGAGGCCCCCUACGCUGUCCCGUGCCGCAUCUCGAGUCCCGAGACGAGUCA